rnacentral:rRNA from 1 species
UACGUAGGGUGCAAGCGUUGUCCGGAAUUACUGGGCGUAAAGAGCUCGUAGGCGGUCUGUUGCGUCGGCUGUGAAAACCCGGGGCUCAACUCCGGGCCUGCAGCCGAUACGGGCAGACUAGAGUUCGGCAGGGGAGACUGGAAUUCCUGGUGUAGCGGUGAAAUGCGCAGAUAUCAGGAGGAACACCGGUGGCGAAGGCGGGUCUCUGGGCCGAUACUGACGCUGAGGAGCGAAAGCGUGGGGAGCGAACAGG